rnacentral:rRNA from 1 species
AUUGAACGCUGGCGGCAGGCCUAACACAUGCAAGUCGAGCGGGGUUUUCGGACCUAGAGGCGGACGGGUGAGUAAUGCGUAGGAAGCUACCCGAUAGAGGGGGAUACCAGUUGGAAACGACUGUUAAUACCGCAUAAUGUCUACGGACCAAAGUGUGGGACCUCCGGGCCACAUGCUAGCGGAUGCGCCUACGUGGGAUUAGCUAGUUGGUGAGGUAAUGGCUCACCAAGGCGACGAUCCCUAGCUGGUUUGAGAGGAAGAUCAGCCACACUGGAACUGAGACACGGUCCAGACUCCUACGGGAGGCAGCAGUGGGGAAUAUUGGACAAUGGGCGCAAGCCUGAUCCAGCCAUGCCGCGUGUGUGAAGAAGGCCUUCGGGUUGUAAAGCACUUUCAGUAGGGAGGAAGCGUUGUGUGUUAAUAGUACACAGCAUUGACGUUACCUACAGAAGAAGCGCCGGCUAACUCUGUGCCAGCCGCCGCCGUAAGAC